GACGAACGCUGGCGGCGUGCCUAAUACAUGCAAGUAGGACGCAGUUGCGAACGGGUUAGUAACGCGUAGGUAACUCCCUAUUAGAGGGGGAUAACUAUUGGACACGAUAGCCAAUCCCCCAUACUAGUAGAUGGAUCUGCGUUGUAUUAGCUCGGAGGUAGGGUAAUGGCCUACCUAGGCACGGAGACAUAGCGGACAUGGAAGGGAGAACGGCCAAACGGGGACUGAGAAACGGCCGAGACACCUGCGGGAGGAAGCAGUAGGGACUCUUAGGCAAUGGGGGGAACCGGGACCGAGCAAAGCGGCGGGAGUGAAGAAGGUGUUCGGAUCGUAAAGCGCUGUUGGUAAGGAAGCGGUACUUAACCAGAAAGGGACGGCUAACUACGUGCCAGCAGCCGCGGUAAUUC
rnacentral:rRNA from 1 species